GGAAUACUAGGUGCUGUAAGCUUUUUAUUUGGAUCAGUGUUUUCAUGGCCUCUGCACAACAUCCUGUUUUGGGAUAAAGGUUGGACACAGGUUUGAAGGGGACCCAAUCAAUCAAUCAAUCAGGGACCCAAUCAAUCAAUCAAUCAGUCAGUCAGUCAGUCAGUCAGUCAGUCAGUCUUUUGAUUACACUAUUUAAAUAGCCCCAUUUGGGGUCAGCUUUCGCUUACGGCCAUACCACUCUGAAAAAGCCUGAUCUCAUCUGACCUCGGAAGCAAAGCAGAGUUGGGCCUGGUUAGUACUUGGUUGGGAGACUGAA
ensembl:lncRNA